UGACAUUUUCUCCGCAGCACUUGGCACGGCGCCUGGCACAGCAUAGGAAUUCAGUAACAUUUGUUGAAAGAAAGAAAAAAUGGUACCUCCAUUUGCGAAUGCUCCCUGGUAGAGAAGGCCAGGAGAUCCUACCUAUUUAUGGGAAAUGCCUGCAGAAUGGAGAGGCAGCCAGCCAGUUUUGCUUAAGAUCAUGGGCACAAAAGGGUUCCCUGGAACAAGAAGCCAAGCUCAUUACACGAGACAGGGGAGAGUGUUAUAAACUCUAAAUGUGAUGAAGGCAGGAAUCACAGCUGUCUUACUGUGUCUCCCAGCCCGGCGCCUGAGAACUGGAACAGCUCUUGGUCACUGUUCACUCUGCGGGAUCAGGUUCAACGUGGAGGCCUUCCUGGGACUCUUCUGUCCAAAUCUGUGCUUCAGGAUAGGGCCACCCAGCAUAUUUAUCUGUCUGUACAAAAAAUCACAGCGGAGAGUCUAAGAUUCUGUAAUAUA